GGCAAAUGAAGGCUCAAACCACAGAUAUAUUUCUCCAGCUCAGCAGUUUAUGGAGGGCCAGCUGAGCUGUUGUCCCUCCCGAAGAUCUUGAUGUUAGCCCUUGGCAAAUGCAAGUGCUGUUUGCUAUUACUGUUGCUCUGACGACAGUGACACUAGAAGCUGUUGGGGACAUUCAGCAAUCCUCACUCAAGACACAGCAAUAAGAGAAGAUUGAGAUAAAGUGACUUGCCCAGAUUCAAAAAGCAAGUGGUUCUUCCAGAGAAUUAAGACACCGUAACACAAAUUUGGGGGACAUUUGGGGAAGGUAUCCCACAUUUGAGAAACUAUUCCAUGAAGCUGUUCAGUGGAAAACUAUUGAGAUCUGCCAGUCUCUCCAACCCUUAGAAUUCAAGACAUGACCUACUGGAUCACUGGAUGAUGAAAGUAAGUUACUUUGUGGUUAACACAGAAAACUUUGCAAUUUUCUCUUCCUAAGGGAACAUACUGCUCUAUAUUCAUGAUAGGGAAGAAGUCUGGAGGAAAUCCAUGGUAAUAUUAAUUAUUUUUA